UUUUCAUUCAUAUAUCAUUCAUAACACGUCUAGUUAGGAGCAUUUGAUUCAUUUCGAUCAUAGCAUCCUAAUUAUUUGGCAUAAGCAUGGUUACUUGGAACCGAUUCUAUAGACAAUACCCCUAGAGGAUGGUGUAGCAACAACGGCGAAUUCGCAGAUCUUGACCCCCUAAGCAGUAGGGAAAUAUAUCGAAGAUGAUGGGCUUUAACCCCCUAAGCAGUAGGGUAACAAGCCGAAUUUACAAGCCUUAACCCCCUAAGCAGUAGGGUAACAGGCUGAAGAUUUACAAAUCUUAACCCCCUAACCAGUAGGGAAACAGAUCGAAGACGAAGGGUCUUAAACCCCUAAGCAGUAGGGUAACAGACCGAAUUGUAGAUCUUAUCUCCCUAAGCAUUAGUGGAGAUAAUCGAAGACGAAGAACCUUAAACCCCUAAGCAGUAGGGCAACAGGUUAAAUUCACAGAUCUUAUCACCCUAAGUAGUAGGGAAACUGAUCGAAGACGAUGGGCCUUAACCUCUUGAGUAGUAGGGUAAUAGGCUAGAAAUCAAAUAUCUUCUUCCUGAAAUGGCGUUGGAGCGGCUAAAAGCCACAGCAGAUCUCCUUGAAGUUUCAGCGAACCUCUUCUUCCUGAAAUGGCGUUGGAGCGGCUAAAAGCCACAAUAGAUCUCCUUGAAGUUUCAGCGGAAGAAGAUCAAAACAAGUCUUAUCCCCCUGAAGUUGCAGAGGAGCAGACUGAAGAUAGCAGAUCUGACAUUCCUAUCCUUAUAGUGAAGCAGAUUGGAGAUUCCAGCAUCGUAUCCCUGUGUUUAUAGGGAACAAGUUGAAGAUGACAGAUUUGGAGUCUCUGUAUUAGACGGGGAGCAGAUCAAAGAUAGAAGAUAUCGCAUUCCUGAGUUGCAGUAAAGCAGAUUGCAGCUGUCAAGAGGCCAUUUAAAGAAGAUCAAGGAUCAAGAACUCAUGACUCGGCGAGCCCGGGCAAAAUUGGUCCUUCUAUAAUCUUUGCUCCAUUCUCGUUACACGACAAUGAGCAAAGAGGGGCAGCUGUAAGGCCUAAAUUUUAACCGGGCCCGAUAUAACAAAACCAAGUAACCAAAUAUAAGAGUCCAAUAGCCCAAAUCCAAUAACCCAAACCCAAUUUAUAAACCCUAAUAGCCCAAGCCCACUAUGUUAAAAAAAUUUUCAGUAGCCACCAAAGUUUUCAGCCGCAUGCCUUCAGCCACCAGCCUUCUCACGCCCGCCACCACCGCUCGGGGCGCCAAUCACCGGCCUUCCACGCGUCUGACACUCUCAUGACCUGCAAACAUUUGGAAAAGAGGAAAAAUGGCAGCAAGAAGCACAAGCAGUAGCAAAAAAUAAAACAACAAUAUUUUAAUAUAGGAAUCGGCUAUAAAGCCGAAAUGAAACUGAUUGUAACGGGGACGCACAUUUGAAUCAAAGAACAGAAAAAAAUUUAAUGGUUGAUCUCUGAUUUAUUUUUUUUUCUUUGUUUUCAUUUCGGUCUUUCAUCUCUUUAAAUUUCUUUUUAUUUAUACUACAAAUCUAAAAAACAAAAAGGGUAUAAAAUCAAAGAAGGGGACUUACCCGAAUCGAAGUGACCGUCGUCGGAGAUCGCUCCUCUGUCGUCGGAUUCGACCCGAAGAGGUCGUAGAGGGUUCCUUCUUUGGAUAUUCUUUGGUCGAGGAAGUUUUUGCUGUUGAGUUCGCCUUAAAUACGGGCUUGAAAGCCCGGUUUACACCCCAACCACCGCCUGUGGUGGCGCUGCGGUGAAGGUGGCGAUGAAGGUUCUAAGAACCCUAGCCGAAAGGAGCAGGGAGAGGGAGAGA
rnacentral:lncRNA from 1 species